GACGAACGCUGGCGGCGUGCUUAACACAUGCAAGUCGAACGCUGAAGCUUGGUGCUUGCACUGGGUGGAUGAGUGGCGAACGGGUGAGUAAUACGUGAGUAACCUGCCCUUGACUCUGGGAUAAGCCUGGGAAACUGGGUCUAAUACUGGAUACGACAUGUCACCGCAUGGUGGUGUGUGGAAAGGGUUUUACUGGUUUUGGAUGGGCUCACGGCCUAUCAGCUUGUUGGUGGGGUAAUAGCUCACCAAGGCGACGACGGGUAGCCGGCCUGAGAGGGUGACCGGCCACACUGGGACUGAGACACGGCCCAGACUCCUACGGGAGGCAGCAGUGGGGAAUAUUGCACAAUGGGCGGAAGCCUGAUGCAGCGACGCCGCGUGAGGGAUGACGGCCUUCGGGUUGUAAACCUCUUUCAGCACGGAAGAAGCGAAAGUGACGGUACGUGCAGAAGAAGCGCCGGCUAACUACGUG
rnacentral:rRNA from 1 species